rnacentral:lncRNA from 1 species
AACACAUGGUUAACAUUAAUAUAUCUCAAGUUUUUAUAUACAAUGUCCACGACCAUUUGACCAUUUUACUAUUUGAUUGAUUUUCUCUAAGGGUAAGUGAAACUUCAGCAUACUAAAACCUAAACCUUAAACCCUAUAUUAUUACACAUAAUUUUUUUCAUCCUUUUAUAAUCAUACACAUGAUUUUUAUAUCAAUUCACAACUUUAGAUAUGAAAGAUAAUCGUCAAUACAAAGUCUCUGUUUGCAACUAUUGUGUUUGAAGUUGCAUCGUAACCACCGCGUCAUAGUCACCGCAUCGUAGCCACCGCAUCUCAACCACGGUAUCGCAUCCAUUGCAAAUCGACUUACUUUAACUCCUUGUUCGCUACUAAAUGGACACAAAAUCUUCGUCAACAAUCUUGAUUCAAAACCUGCAAGCCAAUCAAUCCGACCAUGAAACUUCAACUUUUAAAAGUCGUGACUCUCAACAAUUCACGUAGAUGUUCCAGUUGAGAUGGACGACUUUGCUUCGUACAUGUGUUCGCUGCUAAAUGGACACAAGAAAGUUCUAAAUAACUGAUCUAAUCUCACCAAAUUCACUUUUUGACUCUUCAUCAAAUCAACGAGCAUUACUUGAUUGUUUCGUUCACAAAUGGACUGAUUCAUUUAGUUAGACACAUUUGGACCCAAAAAGAUUGAAUUUGAAUUGAAACUACAACAGCAAAACACCCAAAAACCACAAAAUUUCACAUUACUCAUUCUACCAAACUCUAGUUUAGAAAAGAAAACAAUGAAUUAAGGUUCCAAAAGAAUUAUAUCGAAAAUUAAGAGAGAGAAAUAUAGUUAUAUGAAUCUGGAGAUGGAUUGCUCAUGAGAAGGGAGACAUAUGGGAUUAGGGCCUCUAUCCACGUCUGAUUUCAAAGAUCAAAUCGAUGAAAGACUAGUAGAUAAACACACACACGACCACAAGUUCAACAAUCAGAAACAGCCCCGGCUCAAUAUAUUUGAGAGCCUUAGGGCAAAAAAAUUUUUUUUGGCCUAUUAUUAUAUACAAAGAGAAAAUUUACUUAAUUUUUAAAAAUUUUGCGGAGUUUUUAUAGUAAAAAUUGUUAUUUUAAAAAUUUUGGGCCUUUUUAUACAUUUUCUUAUAAAUAAUUAGGCCUCUUAAAAUAUAAUUCUCAUAUUAAUAAUAUUUUAAAAAAAUAUUUGGGCCUUUUUAUAUGUAAAAUUUUUUUAUAAAAAAAAAAGCUCCGGGCCGUCGCACUUCCGCCCUACCCAUCUGAGCCGGGGCUGAUCAGAAAGACCAAAUUUAGAGGAAGUGGAGAAUUUUCUUUUUUUCCUUUCUUGGAUGUAAAAAACACAGUUAAAAAAAGAAAAGCGAAUCUGAAAUUAAAUUGAUGGAUUAGAAUUUGGAAAGAAAGAGAAAAGGGAAGAGAGGGAUAAAGAAUGAGAGGAUACGGGGAGAGAGAAACAAA